rnacentral:rRNA from 1 species
AGGACGAACGCUGGCGGCGUGCUUAACACAUGCAAGUCGAGCGGAAAGGCCCUUCGGGGUACUCGAGCGGCGAACGGGUGAGUAACACGUGAGUAAUCUGCCCCUAGCUCUGGGAUAGCUCCGGGAAACCGGGAUUAAUACCAGAUACGACCACUUUAGACAUCUUCUGUGGUGGAAAGAACUUCGGCUAGGGAUGAACUCGCGGCCUAUCAGCUUGUUGGUGAGGUAACGGCUCACCAAGGCGACGACGGGUAGCCGGCCUGAGAGGGCGACCGGCCACACUGGGACUGAGACACGGCCCAGACUCCUACGGGAGGCAGCAGUGGGGAAUAUUGCGCAAUGGGCGAAAGCCUGACGCAGCGACGCCGCGUGGGGAUGAAGGCCUUCGGUUGUAAACCCCUUUCAGCAGGGACGAAGCGAAAGUGACGGUACCUGCAGAAGAAGCGCCGGCUAACUACGUGCCAGCAGCCGC